AGUCUCCGCUCCGCGAAUCUCCUCCGGCCACUGCCGCCGCGGUCGCCUCUCACCCGCCCGGCCGCUCCAGCCCGAGGCGCCCCGACCCCGCGCGCCAGGUCCCCAGCCCCGGGGCCCGCCGCCCCCGCGCCACUCCGCGCCCGGCCAGCCGCCCGCAGCCAUGGGGCUCCUGCCCAAGCUCGGCGCGUCCCAGGGCAGCGACACCUCUACUAGCCGAGCCGGCCGCUGUGCCCGCUCGGUCUUCGGCAACAUUAAGAUGUUUGUGCUCUGCCAAGGCCUCCUGCAGCUCUGCCAACUCCUGUACAGCGCCUACUUCAAGAGCAGCCUCACCACCAUUGAGAAGCGCUUUGGGCUCUCCAGUUCUUCAUCGGGUCUCAUUUCCAGCUUGAAUGAGAUCAGCAAUGCCAUCCUCAUCAUCUUUGUCAGCUACUUUGGCAGCCGGGUGCACCGUCCACGUCUGAUUGGCAUCGGAGGUCUCUUCCUGGCUGCAGGUGCCUUCAUCCUCACCCUCCCACACUUCCUCUCCGAGCCCUACCAGUACACCUUGGCCAGCACUGAGUCCCUCCUGCUGGCCAGACAGAAGGACGUGG
rnacentral:sRNA from 1 species